ACGUCAAGUCCUCAUGGCCCUUACGGGCUGGGCUACACACGUGCUACAAUGGCGGUGACAAUGGGAUGCUAAGGGGCGACCCUUCGCAAAUCUCAAAAAGCCGUCUCAGUUCGGAUUGGGCUCUGCAACUCGAGCCCAUGAAGUUGGAAUCGCUAGUAAUCGUGGAUCAGCACGCCACGGUGAAUACGUUCCCGGGCCUU
rnacentral:rRNA from 1 species